AACUUCGUCCACCGGACUCGCAAUGGUGUGAGACUUUACGAGCGGCCUCCGUGUGCCAAAAAUAGGCCGUGGGCACAGCCGCGCCCAAAAAUAACCGACCGAAGGCCGGGGCGCCAAGUUCGUGCAGCGGAAAAAGGCCACAAAAACGGGUGGGCUAUAGCCUUGGGGGGUGGGGCUGGGCAACUUCGUCCGCCGGACUCGGAAUGGCGCGAGACUUUGCGAGCGGCCUCCGUUUGCCAAAAAUAGGCCGCGGGCACAGCUACGCCCAAAAAUAACAGCCCGAAAACCGGGGCGCCAAGUUUGUCCAGCGGAAAAAGGCCACAAAAACGGGUGGGCUAUAGCCUUGGGGGGUGGGGCUGGCCGACUUCGUCCGCCGGACUCGGAAUGGCACGAGACUUUGCGAGCGGCCUCCGUGUGCCAAAAAUAGGCCGCGGGCACAGCCGCGCCCAAAAAUAACCCCCCAA
rnacentral:lncRNA from 1 species